GGUGGUUCAGUGGUAGAGUGCUUGCCUUGCAUGCAUGAGGUCCUGAGUUUGAUUCCUCAGCACCA
rnacentral:tRNA from 1 species